GAAAAAUUCUAGAGACCUGGUGUCUCUGCACUUCUUCACAGGGUCCCUGGCUCCUGUCAGAGCAAAGAGGAAUCAAUCAGUGAUUUCUACUGGUAUUAUU
rnacentral:sRNA from 1 species